CCAAUGGCUGGUUUCAGAGCAGCCACCGUGUUCGUCUGUAUCUGCAAAAAGAGCAGGAGGACUUGGGGCACCUUAGAGACUAACCCAUUUAUUUGAGCAUAAGCUUUCAUGAGCUACAGCUCACUUCAUCGGAU